rnacentral:rRNA from 1 species
UGGGGAAUAUUGCACAAUGGGCGAAAGCCUGAUGCAGCAACGCCGCGUGAGUGAUGAAGGUCUUCGGAUUGUAAAGCUCUGUCUUUUGGGGCGAUAAUGACGGUACCAAAGGAGGAAGCCACGGCUAACUACGUGCCAGCAGCCGCGGUAAUACGUAGGUGGCGAGCGUUGUCCGGAUUUACUGGGCGUAAAGGGUGCGUAGGCGGAUGUUUAAGUGAGAUGUGAAAUACCCGGGCUUAACUUGGGUGCUGCAUUUCAAACUGGAUAUCUAGAGUGCAGGAGAGGAGAAUGGAAUUCCUAGUGUAGCGGUGAAAUGCGUAGAGAUUAGGAAGAACACCAGUGGCGAAGGCGAUUCUCUGGACUGUAACUGACGCUGAGGCACGAAAGCGUGGGUAGCAAACAGGAUUAGAUACCCUGGUAGUCCACGCCGUAAAACGAUGAGUACUAGGUGUAGGAGGUAUCGACC